CCUACGGGAGGCAGCAGUGGGGGAUAUUGCACAAUGGGGGGAACCCUGAUGCAGCGACGCCGCGUGGGUGAAGGAGUGCUUCGGCAUGUAAAGCCCUAUCGGCAGGGAAGAAGCAAGACGGUACCUGACUAAGAAGCCCCGGCUAACUACGUGCCAGCAGCCGCGGUAAUACGUAGGGGGCAAGCGUUAUCCGGAUUUACUGGGUGUAAAGGGAGCGUAGACGGCAGCGCAAGUCUGAAGUGAAAUGCCGGGGCUUAACCCCGGAACUGCUUUGGAAACUGUGCAGCUAGAGUGCAGGAGAGGGA
rnacentral:rRNA from 1 species